UAUGUGAUCGUCUCUCGCAUAUCAAUAAGCGGAGGAAAAGAAACUAACAAGGAUUCCCCUAGUAACGGCGAGUGAAGCGGGAAGAGCUCAAAUUUGAAAUCUUAAAGGGUUUCCCUUUACGAAUUGUAGUUUAAAGAAGUGUUUUCUGUUGAGGUUUUGGUAAAAGUUCUUUGGAAUAGGACAUCAUAGAGGGUGAGAAUCCCGUAUUUGACCUUUACUUUCAACUUUGUGAUACACUUUCAAAGAGUCGGAUUGUUUGGGAAUGCAGUCCAAAACGGGUGGUAAAUUUCAUCUAAAACUAAAUAUUGGCGAGAGACCGAUAGCGAACAAGUACCGUGAGGGAAAGAUGAAAAGAACUUUGAAAAGAGAGUUAAACAGUACGUGAAAUUGUCAAAAGGGAAGCGUUUGACACCAGUGUUGUUUUUCUGAAAAUCAAUUAAAGAACUGUUUAUGCUAAGCUGUUUAGACUUUAUCAGCUAUCUGUUUAGUUUUGAGCUUUUCUUUAAUGCACUUUUCAGUUAACAAGUCAACAUCAAUUUCUUUUGCUGUAAAAAAGCUUGAGGAAGGUGGCUUGAGAUUCGUCUUAAGUGUUUAUAGCCUCUUGCCUAUGCAGUCGGAGAGAUUGAGGUCUGCAGCGUAGAUCCUUCGGGGCUAAAUGCAUUUGUGCUAAGUUAUAGCAUUUUAUAGACAACUUGUUGACUAUGAUUUGUCUUGUAGCUUACUCGCUUAUGUUAUUUUACCUACGCUUAGGAUGUUGAGCGCAUGUCUCUCUCU
rnacentral:rRNA from 1 species